rnacentral:rRNA from 1 species
CUACGGGCGGCAGCAGUAGGGAAUAUUGCACAAUGGACGAAAGCCUGAUGCAGCAACGCCGCGUGCGCGAUGAAGGCCUUCGGGUUGUAAAGCGCUUUUCUGAGGGAAGAGGAAGGACUGUACCUCAGGAAUAAGUCUCGGCUAACUACGUGCCAGCAGCCGCGGUAACACGUAGGAGGCAAGCGUUAUCCGGAUUUACUGGGCGUAAAGCGCGUGUAGGCGGUUUGGCAAGUCGGAUGUGAAAGCUCCUGGCUCAACUGGGAGAGGUCGUUCGAAACUGCCAGACUAGAGGACGGUAGAGGAAGAUGGAAUUCCCGGUGUAGUAGUGAAAUGCGUAGAUAUCGGGAGGAACACCAGUGGCGAAGGCGGUCUUCUGGGCCGUUCCUGACGCUGAGACGCGAAAGCAUGGGUAGCGAACGGGAUUAGAUACCCGAGUAGUC